rnacentral:rRNA from 1 species
GAAGGCUAUGUUGGCCGGGCGACGGUUGUCCCGGUUUAAGCGUGUAGGCUGGUUUUCCAGGCAAAUCCGGAAAAUCAAGGCUGAGGCGUGAUGACGAGGCACUACGGUGCUGAAGCAACAAAUGCCCUGCUUCCAGGAAAAGCCUCUAAGCAUCAGGUAACAUCAAAUCGUACCCCAAACCGACACAGGUGGUCAGGUAGAGAAUACCAAGGCGCUUGAGAGAACUCGGGUGAAGGAACUAGGCAAAAUGGUGCCGUAACUUCGGGAGAAGGCACGCUGAUAUGUAGGUGAAGUCCCUUGCGGAUGGAGCUGAAAUCAGUCGAAGAUACCAGCUGGCUGCAACUGUUUAUUAAAAACACAGCACUGUGCAAACACGAAAGUGGACGUAUACGGUGUGACGCCUGCCCGGUGCCGGAAGGUUAAUUGAUGGGGUCAGCGCAAGCGAAGCUCUUGAUCGAAGCCCCGGUAAACGGCGGCCGUAACUAUAACGGUCCUAAGGUAGCGAAAUUCCUUGUCGGGUAAGUUCCGACCUGCACGAAUGGCGUAAUGAUGGCCAGGCUGUCUCCACCCGAGACUCAGUGAAAUUGAACUCGCUGUGAAGAUGCAGUGUACCCGCGGCAAGACGGAAAGACCCCGUGAACCUUUACUAUAGCUUGACACUGAACAUUGAGCCUUGAUGUGUAGGAUAGGUGGGAGGCUUUGAAGUGUGGACGCCAGUCUGCAUGGAGCCGGCCUUGAAAUACCACCCUUUAAUGUUUGAUGUUCUAACGUGGACCCGUGAUCCGGGUUGCGGACAGUGUCUGGUGGGUAGUUUGACUGGGGCGGUCUCCUCCUAAAGAGUAACGGAGGAGCACGAAGGUUGGCUAAUCCUGGUCGGACAUCAGGAGGUUAGUGCAAUGGCAUAAGCCAGCUUGACUGCGAGCGUGACGGCGCGAGCAGGUGCGAAAGCAGGUCAUAGUGAUCCGGUGGUUCUGAAUGGAAGGGCCAUCGCUCAACGGAUAAAAGGUACUCCGGGGAUAACAGGCUGAUACCGCCCAAGAGUUCAUAUCGACGGCGGUGUUUGGCACCUCGAUGUCGGCUCAUCACAUCCUGGGGCUGAAGUAGGUCCCAAGGGUAUGGCUGUUCGCCAUUUAAAGUGGUACGCGAGCUGGGUUUAGAACGUCGUGAGACAGUUCGGUCCCUAUCUGCCGUGGGCGCUGGAGAACUGAGGGGGGCUGCUCCUAGUACGAGAGGACCGGAGUGGACGCAUCACUGGUGUUCGGGUUGUCAUGCCAAUGGCACUGCCCGGUAGCUAAAUGCGGAAGAGAUAAGUGCUGAAAGCAUCUAAGCACGAAACUUGCCCCGAGAUGAGUUCUCCCUGACCCUUUAAGGGUCCUGAAGGAACGUUGAAGACGACGACGUUGAUAGGCCGGGUGUGUAAGCGCAGCGAUGCGUUGAGCUAACCGGUACUAAUGAACCGUGAGGCUUA